rnacentral:rRNA from 1 species
UGAUUUUUCUGGUAUGGAGAAUUACUUAUGGAAGCCUUUGUACACUUUCUAAUAUAGAGAGAAGUUAACGCGACUGAAAAUAAUGAUUGACGUACAAGUCAUCUUCUUGUUAAGGGGGAUGGCAACACUUUCGAAUUGCGAGGAUUUCCAUUGACAGCAUUCUACCUUUUGAGUACUUGCAAAAGUAUUUGAUAUUAGUAUGGUAAUAAUGAAUGAUGUUGGAUAACCCGCAGCCAAGCUUGUAUUUGUCGACAAACAAAGACAAGACGGGUUCACAGACUAAGUGGAUGUGGGUAGAUUAGUGUCUAGACACUACAUCUACUUAAGAUAUAGUCGAGAGCUUCAUAGGAAUGUGAAGAUGUAUUAAAACGUUCCGUAGGUGAACCUGCGGAAGGAUCAUUAUCGAGAUUGAUUACCUAGUAAUCAAACCUCCACCCAAUGUUUAUAUAUGCUGUUAUAGCAGCUUUGGCGGGAUGUCGAAAGACGAUUAGUGAGCUUUGUGUUUACUGAUUUAUGCCUGCCAAAGUAUAAACUCUUGUCAACUUUGAAGUCUGAGAAGAUUUUGAAAAUAAAUCAAAACUUUCAACAACGGAUCUCUUGGUUCUGGCAUCGAUGAAGAACGCAGCGAAAUGCGAUAAGUAAUGUGAAUUGCAGAAUUCAGUGAAUCAUCGAAUCUUUGAACGCACAUUGCGCCUCUUGGUAUUCCUUGAGGCAUGCCUGUUCGAGCGUCGUUUAGACCAUAAGGCUUUGCCUUGCGUUGAGUUUAUGAUGGUGCGCGUCUCAGUACGCUGUGCCAACUACUCCAAACAUAUUGGCAUCUGACUUGGCCAAAAACACAGCGAUAUGUGAUUUUGAUAGUCAAUGAAGGAUUGUCUUUAUACCUAAAUUUUAAACGGUCGACCU